UACGGGGGGGGCAAGCGUUGUUCGGAAUUACUGGGCGUAAAGGGUUUGUAGGUGGCCCGCUAAGUCACACGUGAAAUCCCUCAGCUUAACUGGGGAACUGCGUGUGAGACUGGCAGGCUCGAGGGCAGGAGAGGAACGCGGAAUUCCAGGUGUAGCGGUGAAAUGCGUAGAUAUCAGGAGGAACACCGGUGGCGAAGGCGGCUUGCUGGGCCUUACCUGACGCUGAGGAGCGAAAGCGUGGGGAGCGAACAGG
rnacentral:rRNA from 1 species